rnacentral:rRNA from 1 species
GGUAACAUUGGUGCUUGCACCAGAUGACGAGUGGCGCACGGGUGCGUAACGCGUAUGCAAUCUACCUUUUACUAGAGUAUAGCCCAGAGAAAUUUGGAUUAAUCCUCUAUAAUAUCCUUUAAUUUCAUGAUUUUAAGAUUAAAGUUUUAACGGUAAAAGAUGAGCAUGCGUCCUAUUAGUUUGUAGGUGAGGUAACGGCUCACCUAGACUACGAUAGGUAGGGGCCCUGAGAGGGGGAUCCCCCACACUGGUACUGAGACACGGACCAGACUCCUACGGGAGGCAGCAGUAAGGAAUAUUGGACAAUGGACGAAAGUCUGAUCCAGCCAUGCCGCGUGCAGGAUGAAAGCCCUACGGGUUGUAAACUGCUUUUAUACAGGAAGAAACACUCCGACGUGUCGGAGCUUGACGGUACUGUAAGAAUAAGGAUCGGCUAACUCCGUGCCAGCAGCCGCGGUAAUACGGAGGAUCCAAGCGUUAUCCGGAAUCAUUGGGUUUAAAGGGUCCGCAGGCUGUUUUUUAAGUCAGAGGUGAAAUCCUACAGCUCAACUGUAGAACUGCCUUUGAUACUGAAAAACUUGAGUUAUUGUGAAGUGGUUAGAAUGUGUGGUGUAGCGGUGAAAUGCAUAGAUAUCACACAGAAUACCGAUUGCGAAGGCAGAUCACUAACAAUAUACUGACGCUCAUGGACGAAAGCGUGGGGAGCGAACAGGAUUAGAUACCCUGGUAGUCCACGCCGUAAACGAUGGAUACUAGCUGUUCGUCUAACAUUGGUUAGAUGAGUGGCUAAGCGAAAGUGAUAAGUAUCCCACCUGGGGAGUACGGUCGCAAGACUGAAACUCAAAGGAAUUGACGGGGGCCCGCACAAGCGGUGGAGCAUGUGGUUUAAUUCGAUGAUACGCGAGGAACCUUACCAGGGCUUAAAUGUAGUGGGACAGGUCUAGAGAUAGACCCUUCUUCGGACUCGUUACAAGGUGCUGCAUGGUUGUCGUCAGCUCGUGCCGUGAGGUGUCAGGUUAAGUCCUAUAACGAGCGCAACCCCUAUCGUUAGUUGCCAG